UGAAUAUGUUGGUUCAGAGAUAAGAUGCUUGUUAGUUUGCUCUUAAGUCUUGUGUUUGACUACUCGUGGGAGCUUAGAGGAUUUUUUCUUGAAUUUUAAUUCAUUUAUAAGAAAAUUGAUAAGUUUUGAAAGUUUUAUCAGAUUAGUAUUAUGAUGGCAAAUCGGUCGUUCAUUGGUGUUUGGGAUCACGUUUUAAGGUGACUCUAGUGUUUAGGUGUUGGAGUCGGUGUAUCGAAGGUCUUAGAAUUUUUUUUUCAAUUUAGUUUAGUUUUUAAUAAAGUUUUUGUAAACUUUGAUAAACUAUUUUCAUACGAACUUUAAAUAAAUUUUAUGGACUGUGGUAUAAGUUUCAUUUGGAAUUGUAAGUUGAUGUUUGGUCUGAAUUAAACUUGGACUUUGAAAGCUACGAGUUUUCAUUUUGGAACUAAA